UACGGGGGGGGCAAGCGUUGUUCGGAAUUACUGGGCGUAAAGGGCUUGUAGGUGGCCAACUAAGUCAGACGUGAAAUCCCUCGGCUUAACCGGGGAACUGCGUCUGAUACUGGAUGGCUAGAGUGUGGGAGAGGGAUGCGGAAUUCCAGGUGUAGCGGUGAAAUGCGUAGAUAUCUGGAGGAACACCGGUGGCGAAGGCGGCAUCCUGGACCACGACUGACACUGAGGAGCGAAAGCGUGGGUAGCAAACAGG
rnacentral:rRNA from 1 species